rnacentral:lncRNA from 1 species
UCAAAAUGAAAAAUAAGAAAAAGCAAAUUGCAUCAGUAGAUUAGUGACAUUUUCCCCCAGAUUUGCUUCAUACCGUCUUGGUGUGAGAACAAUUCUAAAAGAAAACGUCACAACCAAAAAGCAAAAAUAAAUGAAGAUGUAAAAAAGAAGAAUGAAAAUAAGAAAACUGACCUGGGACAUCUGGUGGGUUGCCUCCCACAAAGCGCUUAUUUUUGUUCUUUAGC